CACCUCUCUGUUAAUACUCUGAUAGCUUUGGGAAGAAAUUCUUACCAAUUCCAAAUUUGAGACCCAUUCACUUACCACCAUAAAUUCACCUUUAAACAACUAAGGAAAAAAAUUUAAAACCUUGUGUAGGACAGAAUCUAUUUCAGCAUUUCAGAAAUCAAGAUAAAAGUGGCUGUGAAUGCAGGAAAAAGAGGAAGAAUUUAAAGGAAUUGCUAGAGAUUUUGGAUAGAAUUAACCAAACUGAGGCGAACAGAGCUGUUAAAAAGGCAUGCAGAAUUGCAUGGGAUGUAGUCACAGCAGACAGUUGAUUCCCUUUGUAAGAUUUCCAAGCCGUUACUGGAAACAUUUAAA
rnacentral:lncRNA from 1 species